CGAAAAGAAUCCUGACUGACCAAGGAAGGGAAUUCGUCAAUGCGAUCAACAAGCGAGUCUGCACAAAACUGUCAAUUGAACGAAGUUUAUGCUCUCCUUAUCAUCCGCAAACCAAUGGCUUGGUGGAGCGGAUGAAUGGGACUAUCCAAAGAACUUUAAGCAAAUUAGUGGGUGAGAGACCAGAUACGUGGGACGUAUAUCUGGAUGCAAUUAUGUUUGGAUUGCGUACAAAAAAACAAAUCACAACUAAGUUCUCAC